rnacentral:rRNA from 1 species
GACGAACGCUGGCGGCGUGCUUAACACAUGCAAGUCGAACGGUAAGGCCCUUCGGGGUACACGAGUGGCGAACGGGUGAGUAACACGUGGGUGAUCUGCCCUGCACUUCGGGAUAAGCCCGGGAAACUGGGUCUAAUACCGGAUAGGACCACUGCCUGCAUGGGUGGUGGUGGAAAGCUUUUGCGGUGUGGGAUGGGCCCGCGGCCUAUCAACUUGUUGGUGGGGUGAUGGCCUACCAAGGCGACGACGGGUAGCCGGCCUGAGAGGGUGACCGGCCACACUGGGACUUGGAUACGGGCCAGACUCCUCCGGGAGGCAGCAGUGGGGAAUAUUACACAAUGGGCGCGAGCCUGAUGCAGCGACGCCGCGUGGGGGAUGACGGCCUUCGGGUUGUAAACCUCUUUCAGCACCGACGAAGCGCAAGUGACGGUAGGUGCAGAAGAAGGACCGGCCAACUACGUGCCAGCAGCCGCAGUAA